rnacentral:rRNA from 1 species
UGCAGCAUGUGUGCGAGUCGUUAGGUAUACCUGAAGGNGNAGUGAAAGCGAGAGCGGCAACGUUGUCUGGGCGAGAUGUCUUGAUCGCAUCGCCGGCCCGUCCGUACGGAGCCUGAGCACACACGUUGCGACCCGAAAGAUGGUGAACUAUGCCUGGACAGGAUGAAGCCAGGGGAAACCCUGGUGGAGGUCCGAAGCGGUUCUGACGUGCAAAUCGAUCGUCUGAUCUGGGUAUAGGGGCGAAAGACUAAUCGAACCAUCUAAUAGCUGGUUCCCGCCGAAGUAUCCCUCAGGAUAGCACAGGCUCCAGUCUCUACCGGUAAAGCGAAUGAUUAGAGGUCUUGGGGUCGAAACGGCUUCAACCUAUUCUCAAACUUUAAAUGGUUGAGAAGUAUGACUUACCUAAUGGAAGUUUAUACAGGAUGGCUGAGUCUGUAGUGGGCCAUUUUUGGUAAGCAGAACUGGCGCUGUGGGAUGAACCGAACGUUGAGUUACGGUGUCCGAGUGAGACGCUCAUCAGACCCCAUAAAAGGUGUUGGUUGCUAUAGAC